GGUCGAUGUUGACCGAUGAACAAUUUUAUAUGAAUUUGAAGGGAUUAUGACGCGGAGAACCAAACAAGAGAUAUAGUUGAAGAACUCUAUCGCCUCAGCCACAUCAACCAAACAUAUGACUUUGUAAGAAUAUUAAAAAAGAAAAAAGAAAAAGAAAAAUGUGCAGUGUAUAUCCUUCCUCACAACAGCAUCUGUGUUGAUCAGGCUAAGCGCACGAGAGAGGAGUAUGGCUCGUUGAGCGAUCCUGAUUUGGAUGAGCCUCAGAUUCAGCAUUUGCUCCAAUCUGCAGAGGCCAUUAGGAAAGAAAGACUGGCUGCAUCUCACUGCUCUCAUUCAUGCUUAUUAUCUUCUUAAUCCCCAUUUCUUCCCACCAUAUAAGUCAGUAACAAAUAUGUAUUGUUGUAAAUCUUGGGAAGAUUCUUCUUCUACCUAGCUUUGGAGGUCUCCCACAAUGGGCUGUUGUUGGCGACACGUUCCCUCUUGGCUGUACCUUUGAUCCAUCAGUCGUUCACUAUGAGGUCUGUCUGCCUCCCAUCUCCUCUAAAACCUGCAAUUCUCCAUGCCGUGCUAACGAGUAGGUGAGAAAGUUUACACAAAAUAUCAGAAUCUUUGCAGCAUUUUGAGAGCAGCCCUGAUUACAAGAAUCCAGCUUUUAACACCAAGCUUGGAGUUUAUACAGAGGGCUGUGGACUGGACAAUGUUGUGAUGUCGUGGGGGCACAACGACUACAUGUACCUCGUACGACUCCAUAACCUCUCUCGUCUUCUUGGAAACCAUGGCAUGGAUUCUUGAAAUCGACUCCAUAUGAUCUCUGCAGGUGGCUAAGGAAAACAAGCACUCUUCAUCAUCCGAUAUCACCCAUUUUAUGCAAAUAUGAUCUCUACAGCAAAAGCAAGUCUGUGGUUGAUGUGGACAAGGUGAAGCCAUACUACAUCUCCCUUAUUGAGAAGUACUUCCCACCAAAGCUCAAAUGGUGAAGAACUGAUGCUGUCUGUUUAUCUCAUGUUUCUUUUCAUUUUCUUGUAAUGAAGUAUUACUAUGUGCAUCUGCACUGAUGAGAAUUUUCUUCAAUAAAGUUUUUCUUCCAAAACAGAGCAAA